GUAGGUGAACCUGCGGAAGGAUCAUUAGUGAAAUUUAAUACAGUACUUGGCUUCCGCCUCGUAUUCUUAAACCAACCUAUUCCUUUACCACACACCUGUCCUGUCUGGCGCGCAAGCAACAGACAAGGCAAGCUCUUUUAUUACACAACACACACCAGUUCAUUGUAUGUUCAAAAAACUAUAAAACAAAAUAAAACUUUCAACAACGGAUCUCUUGGUUCUC
rnacentral:misc_RNA from 1 species